CUGGCAAUCUGCAGCACCUCUGCACAUGUGCCCUCUCUCUAUGUACCUGGAGCCAAACGUGAGGCACCUCAUGUGUCCCGGCCAGCACUGCAAUCUGUAGAUGGUUUUGCCCUCUCAGGACCUCCUUGUCUUUCCCUGAUCAUGGAAGUUUAGAACAGGUGCUGAAAUUUUUAGAUGUCUUUUAAAGACCACCACUCCAGCGAACCAUGAAAAGGGCUUGCUAAUGGACAUGGUGAGGUCUUGCAUCCAUUAAAUUCAUUGCAAAGGAGAAGCUAAGUGCUUUCCAGCUGCACAAUUUCUGGUGCAUGAAGUGCUGUUGGGACUGUGGAGAGCCAUAGACCAUGACCUGUCUGCAGUUACCAACACAACAUGUGCAGAUGGACAAAGAGAUAUUUGCCUUCCCAGCCUGAAAGCGAUUUGAGAACAUGGCAGUGUCCUGAUGGACGGAGGCAGCCACCCUGGACUGUUGCAUUAUCCAUGCUCUGAGCUGAGGGAACAGGAGGGUCAGCU